GCGGCGUACGGGUGCGGAACACGUGUGCACGACUUAAUCUGGGGGAAUAGCCUUNCGAAAGGAAGAUUAAUACCCCAUAAUAUGUUGAAUGGCUUCAUUCGACAUUGAAAACUCCGGUGGAUAGAGAUGGGCACGCGCAAGAUUAGAUAAGUUGGUGAGGUAACGGUCACCAAGUCUACGAUCUUUAGGGGGCCUGAGAGGGUGAUCCCCCACACUGGUACUGAGACACGGACCAGACUCCUACGGGAGGCAGCAGUGAGGAAUAUUGGACAAUGGGUGAGAGCCUGAUCCAGCCAUCCCGCGUGAAGGACGACUGCCCUAUGGGUUGUAAACUUCUUUUGUAUAGGGAUAAACCCACCCUCGUGAGGGUAGCUGAAGGUACUAUACGAAUAAGCACCGGCUAACUCCGUGCCAGCAGCCGCGGUAAUACGGAGGGUGCAAGCGUUAUCCGGAUUUAUUGGGUUUAAAGGGUCCGUAGGCGGAUCUGUAAAGUCAGUGGUGAAAUCUCACAGUUUAAUUGUGAAACUGCCAUUGAUACUGCAGGUCCUUGAGUGUUGGUGGAAGUACUGGAAAUAAGUAGUGUACGGUGAAAUGCGUAAU
rnacentral:rRNA from 1 species